rnacentral:rRNA from 1 species
UGAGCAACCUACCGAACUGUGGGGGAUAGCCGGCCUAACGGCCGAGUAAUACCGCAUACGCUCUCAGAGAGGCAUUUCUUUGAGAGGAAACCUACGGGACAGAUCGAGGGGCUCGCGGCCUAUCAGCUAGUUGGCGAGGUAACGGCUCACCAAGGCAACGACGGGUAGCCGGCCUGAGAGGGUGACCGGCCACACUGGGACUGAGACACGGCCCAGACUCCUACGGGAGCAG